AAUCUAUCUGAAUUCUCAUUGGUUGUAUUUUUCUGAUCGAUCAGUGUGAUCUGACCUUGACCUGAGAGCGUGCAAACAGCAAGGUUCCUUGGCCUUUCUGAUUGACGUCAUCGUAGUUUUGACAGCAACGAAAACUCGAACGAUUAUUAAACUCGAAAGAAAAAAUUUAUUAUCAAAACUAUUUAUUAAUUUACAACGCCGUGAGAUGUGCUUUGGAGAAAGACGAUCGGCUAUAUCUUAAAACUAUCGAGGCUGAUCUGAAGAAGCGAAUAGACGCCACAGCAAAGCGUUCAACUGAGCAAUUUUUAAACGAACUGAGCAACACCAGCUUCUGCCUCGAUCGCGAGAAAUUUUGCUGCGGAAUCGUACAUCCCGAUGUCUGUUCGGAAGACAACAAAGAAGUUUUGUACGGCCCUAAGGUAGUGUGACGUCAUCGGCCCAUAUCAGGACAUUCCGCACCAAUGCGGACCAAGCGAAUACCCUGGAAACGAUGUUGAUUGUCAGAAAUUAGACAUUUUGAGACAAGAGUGUUCUCGGUGUCCCACUGCAAGUAUCCAGUAUGAGGUCCAAGAUGACCGCUUUGAGCUUUGGGACAUGUUCCUUUGUAUCGCAUUAGAAUCAUUUCAGAGAAUUGGGGUAGACCUGACAGCUGGUUUGAUGAAG